rnacentral:rRNA from 2 species
AGUUUGGUUCAUGCUCAGGACGAACGCUGUCGGCGUGCCUAAUACAUGCAAGUCGAACGAACUCUGGUAUUGAUUGGUGCUUGCAUCAUGAUUUACAUUUGAGUGAGUGGCGAACUGGUGAGUAACACGUGGGAAACCUGCCCAGAAGCGGGGGAUAACACCUGGAAACAGAUGCUAAUACCGCAUAACAACUUGGACCGCAUGGUCCGAGCUUGAAAGAUGGCUUCGGCUAUCACUUUUGGAUGGUCCCGCGGCGUAUUAGCUAGAUGGUGGGGUAACGGCUCACCAUGGCAAUGAUACGUAGCCGACCUGAGAGGGUAAUCGGCCACAUUGGGACUGAGACACGGCCCAAACUCCUACGGGAGGCAGCAGUAGGGAAUCUUCCACAAUGGACGAAAGUCUGAUGGAGCAACGCCGCGUGAGUGAAGAAGGGUUUCGGCUCGUAAAACUCUGUUGUUAAAGAAGAACAUAUCUGAGAGUAACUGUUCAGGUAUUGACGGUAUUUAACCAGAAAGCCACGGCUAACUACGUGCCAGCAGCCGCGGUAAUACGUAGGUGGCAAGCGUUGUCCGGAUUUAUUGGGCGUAAAGCGAGCGCAGGCGGUUUUUUAAGUCUGAUGUGAAAGCCUUCGGCUCAACCGAAGAAGUGCAUCGGAAACUGGGAAACUUGAGUGCAGAAGAGGACAGUGGAACUCCAUGUGUAGCGGUGAAAUGCGUAGAUAUAUGGAAGAACACCAGUGGCGAAGGCGGCUGUCUGGUCUGUAACUGACGCUGAGGCUCGAAAGUAUGGGUAGCAAACAGGAUUAGAUACCCUGGUAGUCCAUACCGUAAACGAUGAAUGCUAAGUGUUGGAGGGUUUCCGCCCUUCAGUGCUGCAGCUAACGCAUUAAGCAUUCCGCCUGGGGAGUACGGCCGCAAGGCUGAAACUCAAAGGAAUUGACGGGGGCCCGCACAAGCGGUGGAGCAUGUGGUUUAAUUCGAAGCUACGCGAAGAACCUUACCAGGUCUUGACAUACUAUGCAAAUCUAAGAGAUUAGACGUUCCCUUCGGGGACAUGGAUACAGGUGGUGCAUGGUUGUCGUCAGCUCGUGUCGUGAGAUGUUGGGUUAAGUCCCGCAACGAGCGCAACCCUUAUUAUCAGUUGCCAGCAUUAAGUUGGGCACUCUGGUGAGACUGCCGGUGACAAACCGGAGGAAGGUGGGGAUGACGUCAAAUCAUCAUGCCCCUUAUGACCUGGGCUACACACGUGCUACAAUGGAUGGUACAACGAGUUGCGAACUCGCGAGAGUAAGCUAAUCUCUUAAAGCCAUUCUCAGUUCGGAUUGUAGGCUGCAACUCGCCUACAUGAAGUCGGAAUCGCUAGUAAUCGCGGAUCAGCAUGCCGCGGUGAAUACGUUCCCGGGCCUUGUACACACCGCCCGUCACACCAUGAGAGUUUGUAACACCCAAAGUCGGUGGGGUAACCUUUUAGGAACCAGCCGCCUAAGGUGGGACAGAUGAUUAGGGUGAAGUCGUAACAGGUAAACCCGU